UUCCAGGCAAAUCCGGUUCACUUUAACACUGAGGCGUGAUGACGAGGCACCACGGUGCUGAAGCAACAAAUGCCCUGCUUCCAGGAAAAGCCUCUAAGCAUCAGGUAACAUCAAAUCGUACCCCAAACCGACACAGGUGGUCAGGUAGAGAAUACCAAGGCGCUUGAGAGAACUCGGGUGAAGGAACUAGGCAAAAUGGUGCCGUAACUUCGGGAGAAGGCACGCUGACACGUAGGUGAAGUGAUUUACUCAUGGAGCUGAAGUCAGUCGAAGAUACCAGCUGGCUGCAACUGUUUAUUAAAAACACAGCACUGUGCAAACACGAAAGUGGACGUAUACGGUGUGACGCCUGCCCGGUGCCGGAAGGUUAAUUGAUGGGGUCAGCGCAAGCGAAGCUCCUGAUCGAAGCCCCGGUAAACGGCGGCCGUAACUAUAACGGUCCUAAGGUAGCGAAAUUCCUUGUCGGGUAAGUUCCGACCUGCACGAAUGGCGUAAUGAUGGCCAGGCUGUCUCCACCCGAGACUCAGUGAAAUUGAACUCGCUGUGAAGAUGCAGUGUACCCGCGGCAAGACGGAAAGACCCCGUGAACCUUUACUAUAGCUUGACACUGAACAUUGAGCCUUGAUGUGUAGGAUAGGUGGGAGGCUUUGAAGCGUGGACGCCAGUCUGCGUGGAGCCGACCUUGAAAUACCACCCUUUAAUGUUUGAUGUUCUAACGUGGACCCGUAAUCCGGGUUGCGGACAGUGUCUGGUGGGUAGUUUGACUGGGGCGGUCUCCUCCUAAAGAGUAACGGAGGAGCACGAAGGUUGGCUAAUCCUGGUCGGACAUCAGGAGGUUAGUGCAAUGGCAUAAGCCAGCUUGACUGCGAGCGUGACGGCGCGAGCAGGUGCGAAAGCAGGUCAUAGUGAUCCGGUGGUUCUGAAUGGAAGGGCCAUCGCUCAACGGAUAAAAGGUACUCCGGGGAUAACAGGCUGAUACCGCCCAAGAGUUCAUAUCGACGGCGGUGUUUGGCACCUCGAUGUCGGCUCAUCACAUCCUGGGGCUGAAGUAGGUCCCAAGGGUAUGGCUGUUCGCCAUUUAAAGUGGUACGCGAGCUGGGUUUAGAACGUCGUGAGACAGUUCGGUCCCUAUCUGCCGUGGGCGCUGGAAGACUGAGGGGGGCUGCUCCUAGUACGAGAGGACCGGAGUGGACGCAUCACUGGUGUUCGGGUUGUCAUGCCAAUGGCACUGCCCGGUAGCUAAAUGCGGAAAAGAUAAGUGCUGAAAGCAUCUAAGCACGAAACUUGCCCCGAGAUGAGUCUUCCCUGAGACUUUGAGUCUCCUGAAGGAACGUUAAAGACGAUGACGUUGAUAGGCCGGGUGUGUAAGCGCAGCGAUGCGUUGAGCUAACCGGUACUAAUGAACCGUGAGGCUUAACCUUACAACGCCGAAGGUGUUU
rnacentral:rRNA from 1 species